rnacentral:rRNA from 1 species
UGCUUAACACAUGCAAGUCGAACGCGAAAGUCCUUCGGGAUGAGUAAAGUGGCGAACGGGUGCAUAACGCGUAGGAGUCUACCCUUGGGUGAAGGAUACCCUAGAGAAAUUUAGGCUAAUACUGCAUAAGCCGGGUUAAACCGGGAAAGGUGGCCUCUUGCUACCGCACAAGGAUGAGCCUGCGUACUAUUAGUUAGUUGGUGAGGUAAAGGCUCACCAAGACGAAGAUGGUUAGCUGGCCUGAGAGGGUGUACAGCCACAAUGGGACUGAGAUACGGCCCAUACUCCUACGGGAGGCAGCAGUGGGGAAUAUUGCACAAUGGGCGAAAGCCUGAUGCAGCGACGCCGCGUGGAGGAUGAAGGUUUUCGGAUUGUAAACUCC